rnacentral:rRNA from 1 species
CCCCCCUCAAGAUGAGAUUUCCCAUAGCGUUAAGCUAGUAAGACCCCUGAGAGACGAUCAGGUUGAUAGGUCAGAGGUGGAAGCGUGGUGACACGUGGAGCUGACUGAUACUAAUCGGUCGAGGACUUAACUA